UUGCCUGAAUGAUGAUUAGAUUCUCUGUUUUGGAUCGCUGCAUUUAAACUGAGAAAGCAUGUACAGAAUGACGCGUUUGGUGUGUGAUAGAGUCAACAAUAAUAGCAUUGUUG